UUUUUAAAUGUAAACAGAAAAUUUUAAAUUAUAUAUGUGACUCACAUUACAUUUCUAUUGGACAGUCUUUUCUCAUCCCCAACAUGGCCCCUUCCGGGCCUUCUCAAGGAGCAGCAUUAGCUCCUGCCUGCAGCCGGUCCUGGGUUCUUUCACCUGGCUCCCUUCAUUGGGUUGUCUGUAGAUGUAUCUACAUUGUCGUACAACUACAACAUAGUACACUGACCAGUAUAAUCUCAUCUAUUUCCUAUCUUUUGAAAAGUGUUUGAAUUUCUGGUCUGUUCCUUUUUUCUCUUUUUUCCUCUCUCCCCACCCUAACCACAGGUAUUAAAUUAGUCUUCUUUGUUCUGCUUUGUCACAUCUUUAGGAUUUAGGAGGGACGAGAAGUAAAGAUAUUUUUAUUCUGUCAAUUGGGAAACAGAAGAAUUGACUGAUUUUUAUCACUAUUUUGAACAACAGUACAGUGGUCAUCUUUAUGCAUAAGUCUGUCUGUAUCUCUAGAUAUUUUCUUAAGAUGGUUUCUGGUUCAGAUUAUAUGACUUUUUUUUAUGGCUCUUGAUAUACAUAUCGACAAAUGUAUUCAAAAAAAAGAUACCAAUUUAUGUUCUCUGUGGGUUGUUCAAUAAAAGAUGGGAGCAGUUAUCCAAAAGGUGCCAGAUUCCAUCUGAAUCCUCUUAUGUGGGCCUUUUAUCUCAGCUUCCAUGGAAAGAAAGCAUGUCCUCUUUUCUGAAUCACUUAACUUUUAUGAGUCUUCAUUUUCUUAUUUGUAAAGUAGCAAUAAUCAUGUCCUAAAGUAAUGUGCAUAAUAACUCGCUGAAGGCAAUAUUUCCAUUAAUUCAUUUUUGCAAGUGUUUGAGAGUCUCCUACUUAUACUGAGUACAUGUGCUACAGAAGGAACUAUGCGGGGUGUCCAAAUGAUAUAGACCGUGGCCUCAAAACAGAUUUCUAAUGAAGAGACUAGAGCGGGAAAUAAGACACACUCAGAAGAAACUGUCUCUUAGUGACUUGUAAUGAGGUAGAUGCGUGACAUUAAAGGGGUUUAGAUGGAAAAGGGUUUGCACUCCACUUAAAAUAUAAAAGAAGACAGCCUAGAGGAGGUGGCACUUAAGGUAGGCCUUGAAGGAGGAGUAUAAUUUCAACGUAGUUGGGAAGUAGGGGGAGGGUGUAUGAGGUGUGAGAAAGGCACAGGAGUGAGUUCUAAACAGAAAGUUGAUAAUGUUCACUAAGGUAUUGGCAGAAGGUAAGGAAAACAAACAUUUUUGUUUCUCUGAGUAUACUUAUUUUCAUGUGCCAAACAAUAAGGUACUUUCUGUAUUUAUUUCUGUUGUGCUUCAAUAGGGAAGGCGGGGAGAAAUCAUCUUACUCAGUUUGGGCUCUGGCCAGAACUGAGUAGGCGAAGUUUGUCCAUAGGGACAAGAACAUAAUAUAUUUACACUGGCCCUUCUCUCCCACAGAGGUCGGAAAUUCUGAGGCAUUUUUAAAUAGUUCUGAGCCUGUGACACAUUACACUCAUCCCACCAAAUGAUAACUUGCAUCAGAAAUAUUGAGAUGUGGCCAGAGAAAGAAGAUUCCCGAAGAGAAGAAUAACUUAGACAGAGGAUGGGCUGCCAAUAGAGAGAGGAAAGGGAAGGCAUUAGACCUUUGGUGUCAUCAUGAAAAGUAGGAAGAAGAGCCAAAUGGAGGUGAAGGUAUCAACUCUACUCAUGGCUGCCCAGUGGUUCCUCAAGUACAGUCUAGAGAUGUAAGUCUAGGAGUGCUCCAUGCACUGAGUGAAAUCUAAACCCCUCAGGACUACAUAGAAUAAGAGAGGAAGCUAAGGAUGAAAUCCUGAGGGUUGUAGUUCUUAAAAGGAUCCUCAUGAAGACUGACAAGGAGCACAGAGUUGCAGGAAAUUAUGGUGUCAGAAAAUCCAAAGGAUUUGGGAGCAGCAUUUAGGAAAAUAAGGAGUGCCCACCUGCCUCAAAUGCUGCCAAGAAAUCAGUGACGGUGUGAGCCGCAACCACAAACGCAUUCAUGGGAUUUUACAACAAAAGAAGUCUUAAAAAAAAAAAAAAAACACCCACAAAACUUGCUGUUCUCCCAUCCCAACCUCCCUAGAGUCUAAUCACAUAGGACCGUCUACGUUUUGUUUUCCAGUGUACCUUCACAAUGGCUCCCAUUGGGUAUAAAAAUAUGACACUGAAAGAU